rnacentral:tRNA from 1 species
GGCGUUGUGGUGAAAUUGGUAUACACGCUAGAUUCAAAAUCUGGUUCCUUCGGGAGUGUCGGUUCGACUCCGACCAGCGCUACCA